GAACGCACAUUGCGCCCCUUGGUAUUCCGGGGGGCAUGCCUGUUCGAGCGUCAUUUCAACCCUCAAGCUCUGCUUGGUAUUGAGUCCAUGUCAGCAAUGGCAGGCUCUAAAAUCAGUGGCGGCGCCGCUGGGUCCUGAACGUAGUAAUAUCUCUCGUUACAGGUUCUCGGUGUGCUUCUGCCAAAACCCAAAUUUUUCUAUGGUUGACCUCGGAUCAGGUAGGGAUACCCGCUGAACUUAAG
rnacentral:misc_RNA from 1 species